rnacentral:rRNA from 1 species
UGGGGAAUUUUGGACAAUGGGGGAAACCCUGAUCCAGCCAUCCCGCGUGUGCGAUGAAGGCCUUCGGGUUGUAAAGCACUUUUGGCAGGAAAGAAACGUCGCGGGUUAAUACCCCGCGGAACUGACGGGUACCUGCAGAAUAAGCACCGGCUAACUACGUGCCAGCAGCCGCGGUAAUACGUAGGGUGCAAGCGUUAAUCGGAAUUACUGGGCGUAAAGCGUGCGCAGGCGGUUCGGAAAGAAAGAUGUGAAAUCCCAGAGCUUAACUUUGGAACUGCAUUUUUAACUACCGGGCUAGAGUGUGUCAGAGGGAGGUGGAAUUCCGCGUGUAGCAGUGAAAUGCGUAGAUAUGCGGAGGAACACCGAUGGCGAAGGCAGCCUCCUGGGAUAACACUGACGCUCAUGCACGAAAGCGUGGGGAGCAAACAGGAUUAGAUACCCUGGUAGUCCACGCCCUAAACGAUGUCAACUAGCUGUUGGGGGUCUUCGGACCCUUGGUAGCGCAGCUAACGCGUGAAGUUGACCGCCUGGGGAGUACGGUCGCAAGAUUAAAACUCAAAUGAAUUGACGGGGGUCGAUA